rnacentral:rRNA from 1 species
UACAGAGGGUGCAAGCGUUAAUUGGAAUUACUGGGCGUAAAGCGUGCGUAGACGGUUGCGUAAGUCGGGUGUGAAAGCCCCGGGCUCAACCUGGGAAUUGCAUUCGAGACUGCUCUGCUAGGGUGCGGAAGAGGGGAGCGGAAUUUCCGGUGUAGCGGUGAAAUGCGUAGAUAUCGGAAGGAACACCAGUGGCGAAAGCGGCUCCCUGGUCCAGCACCGACGUUCAGGCACGAAAGCGUGGGGAGCAAACAGG